CCUACGGGUGGCAGCAGUGGGGGAUAUUGCACAAUGGGGGAAACCCUGAUGCAGCGACGCCGCGUGGGUGAAGAAGUAUUUCGGUAUGUAAAGCCCUAUCAGCAGGGAAGAAAGAAGACGGUACCUGACUAAGAAGCCCCGGCUAACUACGUGCCAGCAGCCGCGGUAAUACGUAGGGGGCGAGCGUUAUCCGGAUUCACUGGGUGUAAAGGGAGCGUAGACGGCCAUGCAAGCCAGGAGUGAAAGCCCGGGGCCCAACCCCGGGACUGCUCUUGGAACUGUGCGGCUGGAGUGCGGGAGGGGCAGGCGGAAGUCCUGGUGUAGCGGUGAAAUGCGUAGAUAUCAGGAGGAACACCGGCGGCGAAGGCGGCCUGCUGGACCGCGACUGACGUUGAGGCUCGAAAGCGUGGGGAGCGAACAGGAUUAGAUACCCCAGUAGUC
rnacentral:rRNA from 1 species